GCGUUCAUGGUGAAGUGGUUAACACGGCGGAUUGUGGUUCCGUUAUGCGUGGGUUCGAUCCCCACUGGACGCCCCA
rnacentral:tRNA from 1 species